GACGAACCUUGCUAACGUUAUUCGGAAUUACUGGGCUUAAAGGGUGCGUAGGCGGCGCGGUAAGUCGGGUGUGAAAUCUUGGAGCUUAACUCGGAAACUGCAUCGGAUACUGCCUUGCUCGAGGGUUGGAGGGGGGACUGGAAUACUUGGUGUAGCAGUGAAAUGCGUAGAUAUCAAGUGGAACACCAGUGGCGAAGGCGAGUCCCUGGACAACUCCUGACACUGAGGCACGAAAGCUAGGGGAGCAAACAGG
rnacentral:rRNA from 1 species